rnacentral:misc_RNA from 1 species
GCUAAAGGUUUUGGAACCAAGGAAAACCCAGUUCCUGUACCAUCUGUCUUUGACAGACGUCUAGUUGGAUGUAUAUGUGACGAAGACACUGCCCAAAUGCAGUACUUCUGGCUAUAUAAAGGAGAGCCCAAGCGAUGCUUCUGUGGUCAUUUCUUUCAAUUAAAGGAAAUUAGUGCUGCUGAUUUCCCACAAUACCCUAAGGAAGAACAGUCCAAGACAUGGGAAGGAGAACUUUAGCUUUUAGAAUACCCCUAUCUUAUGUACAUUCUUCGAAAUUAAAAGGGUUUGAAUAUUUGUUUUGUUUCCAAGGAAAAAUGACAUGUUGUGUUGGAAAGCUAAAUUGGAGUCCAAGACUUUGAAUCCAAUAAACAAUAUUUAAUGUGUAUGGAAAUCUUCUCUUUGAUUGAUUUGAUUAAAUUUUUCAUGACAGAC